rnacentral:lncRNA from 1 species
GGCCCCGCAGGCCGGCACAGCCGCACCAUUAGGCCCCGCUCCAGCGCCAGGCCCGGCCCAGACAGCGCAGGGCGGGCAGCGCUUUGCCGGGACCGACAUCUCCCGCAGACCAGCACAGCACGGAACAGCACAGGCGCCGCAACGAGGCCAAGAAGCGACCACAGACUGGAGGGGGAUCGAGAGCCCCAGAGACCCCCAGACCUCAGACCUGUUUCCAGAAAGGUCUGAAAGAACAGCCUGUGCAUGACAACUCAUUGGCACAGAAGAGAGAAAGCCGCCUUCUGCAGGGAACCCUGUCCCUGCAAAGGUACCCCCAGCAAGCCCAGCAGCCUGGACAUCCCUCCAGCUGCAUCCACGCUGGACACCGGACUGACCCCUUGAACAGGAUGGCGGCGUCACCCAUUCUCAGAGGAAGAGAAUUCACCCAACCAAAGCCAACAGGAGUUUUCCCUGCAGGGAAGGCCAGAGCUGCCACCAAGGAGGGAAGCAGAGCCCCGUGGCUGUGGGAAGGACUGACCCUUUGCAGGCUGACAACAUGGUAAGUGGGUGCAGCUGUUGGAACAGUCCAAACCCUUCCCAACUGUCACCUGGACCUGGAGGCCCUCUUUGGUUGAGGCUGCAAUCCCUUGGAUGAAGUUGUCCCUGUGGAUACAAUUGGUACUUCAUGUUCCUAGGAAGGACCCUCCCCAGCUGGGCAAGCUUUGUGCAGCCCUGGUUUCUGUUGCACUCGGGGCAGCUCUUUCCCAUCCUGUCCAGAGCAAGACAAUGCCAUGACCCAGAUGGGAGUGCAGAGCAGGUCUGGACUGACAGGACAGUCAUCCACGACCACAUCAGCCUGACAUUCCCUGAUGAUGGCAACGGGAUGAACUCGGAGCAGCUGCACAAAAUACUAAGGCACUGUGCAACCUCUCUGGAGUGCCCAUUAGUGGAGAGAAAGACAAUUCAUAUGGUUGUGACUGUCUUUCCUUUCAGUUGGCAACCAAGAGAAGAGACAGACUCGGCUCCAAUCCUUUGGAGUAUUGAUAAGAGAAGUGCAGCUGUGGCAGUUCCCUGCUUAGAGAGAAGCUGGAAUUCGUUGGCACUGGAGCACAUUGUCCCAGGAAGCGACUACUCCCUGCCAGGACGUAGGAGAUGUUUUUCCAUUGGCCUUGGGUUUGGGAGCUGGAGGGUUUGUGGGUGUUGUUUUAAAAUCAGGUGUUUUGUGGGCUUUUGCAGUAUUUGGUACCCGAAGCCGAGCACGCAGAUCAUCCUGGGAGGACAAAGAGCCAAAACACAGCUGGUUUCCAAAGCUGUCUUCCCCCACACUUGUCAUGUGGGCACAGGGAUACCACACUUGCAAGGGCUUCUCCAAAGGUUUUUCUGCCAGGAGUGCUCCAGGCUUUCAGAAGCAGAGCAGCCCUGGGAGAGCAGCUGAGUGAUGACGGGAAGGAGCUGCAGAGGAAGAAGAAGGAGGAAUGUCCCUUGGCUGUGCCAGGUGAGGCGAUGCAGGGAGUGGCAAGGCCAGGGAGAGCAAAGGCCUUGCCAGGCUGUGGCUGUGGUUGGUUUCCCCCGAGUGCUGAGCAGGAGCCUUUGAUGGGCAAGCUGUGCUGGUUUUCCCUGGCAGAAAGCAGCCAGAGCAGCCGUGGGUGCAGUGCGAGGCGCGUGGGAAGGGUGGGAAGGUGGCGGAGGGAACG